UCCCCGGCAGUCCAGUGGUUAGGACCCAGCACUGUCACUGCUGUGGCCCAGGUUCAAUCCCUGGUCUGGGAA